rnacentral:rRNA from 1 species
GAUGAACGCUGGCAGCGUGCUUAACACAUGCAAGUCGAACGGAGAGGCCCAAGCUUGCUUGGGUACUCGAGUGGCGAACGGGUGAGUAACACGUGGGUGAUCUGCCCUGCACUUCGGGAUAAGCCUGGGAAACUGGGUCUAAUACCGGAUAGGACGAUGGUUUGGAUGCCAUUGUGGAAAGUUUUUUCGGUGUGGGAUGAGCUCGCGGCCUAUCAGCUUGUUGGUGGGGUAAUGGCCUACCAAGGCGUCGACGGGUAGCCGGCCUGAGAGGGUGUACGGCCACAUUGGGACUGAGAUACGGCCCAGACUCCUACGGGAGGCAGCAGUGGGGAAUAUUGCACAAUGGGCGCAAGCCUGAUGCAGCGACGCCGCGUGGGGGAUGACGGCCUUCGGGUUGUAAACUCCUUUCGCUAGGGACGAAGCGUUUUUGUGACGGUACCUGGAGAAGAAGCACCGGCUAACUACGUG